UACGUAGGGGGCAAGCGUUGUCCGGAAUCAUUGGGCGUAAAGCGCGCGUAGGCGGCCCGGUAAGUCCGCUGUGAAAGUCGGGGGCUCAACCCUCGGAUGCCGGUGGAUACUGUCGGGCUUGAGUGCGGAAGAGGCGAGUGGAAUUCCUGGUGUAGCGGUGAAAUGCGCAGAUAUCAGGAGGAACACCAAUUGCGAAGGCAGCUCGCUGGAACGUAACUGACGCUGAGACGCGAAAGCGUGGGGAGCAAACAGG
rnacentral:rRNA from 1 species